rnacentral:sRNA from 1 species
GCUGGGCGUGGUGGCGCAUGCCUGUAAUCCCAGCAACUCCGGAGGCUGAGGCAGGAGGAUGGCAAGUUCAAAGACAGCCUCAGCAACCGAGCAAGGCCCUAAGCAACUGAGCAAGACUCUGUCUCAA